AGCCUGAACGCUGGCGGCGUGGUUAAGACAUGCAAGUCGCACGGUGUAGCAAUACACAGUGGCGAACGGGUGAGUAAUGAAUCGCUAAUGUACCCCGGACUCUGGGAUAGCCAGUCGAAAGACUGGGUAAUACCAGAUGACAUAUCCCUACCGCAUGGUUGGGGAUCUCAAAGGUCCGCCGGUCUGGGAGCAGGCGAUUUCGUAUCAGCUAGUUGGUGAGGUAACGGCUCACCAAGGCGACGACGCGUAGCCGGACUGAGAGGUUGGCCGGCCACAUCGGGACUGAGACACUGCCCGGACUCCUACGGGGGGCUGCAGUAACGAAUCUUCCCCAAUGCACGAAAGUGUGAGGGAGCGACGCCGCGUGUGGGACGAAGUCAUUCGGGAUGUAAACCACUGUCAGGGGAUACCAAGUUCUGAGGAUCCCCAGAGGAAGAGGCGGCUAACUCUGCGCCAGCAGCCGCGGUAA
rnacentral:rRNA from 1 species